GUCCCAGUAGUAUAAAUAUUACUCUGGUCUUGUAAGCCAGGAAUGGAGAUAGUUCUCCCUGAGACA
ensembl:Mt_tRNA